GCCUUCGAGCCUUUUUCGGAAGGUGGUCACCCAAAAACAAGCAGCCGAUGAAUAAAAAAGAAUUUGUGUCUCAUCUCUAUUUCUCAUACUCAUCCGUCAGCCAGCGAGAGGAAAAGAGAAACCUACUCCUCCAUCAGCGGGAGGGAAAGAAGAAAAAAAGAGAAAGAAGAAAAAAGAGAAAGGUGGAGGAGAAUCCUUCCUCAUUCCUCACAAUCUUCCUCAUUCCUCACAAUCUUUGCACACGAGGCACAUAGAAUUAGUUUUCUAGACAAAGAAACAGAUAGAUUUACAGGCUAAAAACCCUCAAGAAGGGCACUGUUUGAUAGUGAAAGGAAGUUUGUAUUUUUUCAGUGAAGGGAGGAAACCGUGGACGUAGAUUCAUCAAAACAAGCAAAAAUAAUUGAGCACCAGAAACCCUAACCCUUGGAAAGCAAGCUUGCGACUGUUUCCACUCACACUAUUUCCACUCAACUAUUAGAAAGAGAGGCAGAGGCUGCUCACCAGAAAGAAAGAUAGAGGCCGCUCGCCGCUCACCGGUGGUGUCUGUAAGACACUUUUUGAUUCUCUAUAUUGAUCCAUGUUCUUUUUUUGUGUUUCAUCCCUGUUUCUCCUACUCCUCCAUCAUCGUCAAGAGGGGAAGAAGAACAAAACCAUGCACUUUUCAGGUUUUUCUUUAGGAACCUGUUCAUUCUAUCGCCCUGAACCUCCCAUCGUCCUUUUCCUUCAUUUUUUUUCUUUCCCUUAGCUCGCUAUGGAGGAGUAGGAGAAACCGAGAUGAGACACAAAAAAACAUGGAUCAAUGUAGAUAUAGAGAGUCAUACAGACACCACCGGUGAGCUGCCUGGCCUCUGUCUCUCUUCUUAAAUAGUUGAGUGGAAAUCGUGUGAGUGAAACAGUCGGCAAGCUUGCUUUCCAAGGGUUUCUGGUUCUCAACUAGUUUUGCUUGUUCUGAUGAUUCCACGUCCACAGUUUCCCUCCCUUUGCUGGAAAAAUGCAAACUUCCUUUCACCAUCAAGCGGUGCCCUUCUUGAGAACUUUUAGACUGUAAAUCUGUAUUUGUCGCUUCGUCUACGGAACUGAUUCUAUGUGCCUCCUGGGCAAAGAUUGUGACGGAGGAUGUGGCUUCCGCUGACGAAGUCUUGCUCUCACCAUUUAUCUUAGGGCAAUUGUCUAUUUCAAGUGAAGGCCCUGCUCCUAAAACCUGCAAGGAUUUUAGUUGUUCAUCAGGCAGGGUUCGUAUUUCUUCUCCGAUGCAUGAGGCAGGAUGGUGGCACGGUAUCUUUAUUCUAAUUUCCUUUUCAGAGAUUAUCUUGCUAUAUCUGUUCAUAAACUCAUCUGCUGGAGUAGCACACUCUGGACUUGAUCCAAUUUGAUUGACAGCCUGAGUGGUAAAAUCAGUCAAAUUUUGGGAGGAAAUUGCAGAAAAACAGAGCAAAUUCUCAUCCUCAGCUUGGUGGUAUAUUGCUGUCAACAAUGGAUUGGAAGUGCUUGUUGCGGUUGCUACCAGUAUGUAGAAGCUUCCUGUAUACUUGGUACAGUGAUUCAGUGCAAAAGCCUGCCAUGUAAGGGAAUACUAGCAUCAUGAAAUCGUCUGAAAUAGCAGCUUUUGCGGGACCAUGUUGAGGAUGGAUUUUCAGGAGUGGCAGAUUUAUAUGAAAGAUGGACAGAGAGGAGUGAAAGAUGGAUAGAGAGGAGUGCCUAUUUUUGGUACCUUGUAUGAGCAAGUCUAUCCAGGAGCAGCGCUUCUUGGUUAUCCUUUGAGCAAGUCUAUCCAGGACAUAGAUUCUUGGCAAGUUUGGGGACCGCAGGCAAUGUCAUCUUCUCUUUUUUGUGUAGAACUUUGUAGCAUGAAACCGUGGUUAAUUGCAAAGAAAGUUCUAGGGUGAAGAGCAUGAAUAAGCGCUUUCCUUGGACUUCUUGUUACCUUUACCUGUACUUUGACGAGCCAUAUCAUUGCCUUGCACAUUUUGAAAAUUAAAGUACUUUUCCCCUGGAUAA